AACACAGGUGGUGCAUGGCUGUCGUCAGCUCGUGUCGUGAGAUGUUGGGUUAAGUCCCGCAACGAGCGCAACCCACGUUUUUAGUUGCCAUCAUUAAGUUGGGCACUCUAAAGAGACUGCCGUGGACAACACGGAGGAAGGUGUGGACGACGUCAAGUCAUCAUGCCCCUUACGUCUUGGGCUACACACGUCCUACAAUGCUACAGACAGAGGGCAGCGAGCGCGCGAGUGCAAGCAAAUCCCAUAAACUGUGGCUCAGUUCAGAUUGCAGGCUGCAACUCGCCUGCAUGAAGGCGGAAUCGCUAGUAAUCGCCGGUCAGCAUACGGCGGUGAAUACGUUCCCGGGCCUUGUACACACCGCCCGUCACACCAUGGGAGUUGGCCACGCCCGAAGUCGUUACUCUAACCGUUCGCGGAGGAGGGCGCCGAAGGCAGGGCUGAUGACUGGGGUGAAGUCGUAACAAGGUAGCCGUACCGGAAGGUGUGGCUGGAUCACCUCCUUUUAGGGAGACCUACCCUUGAUUACUCCGAACCAAAUUGAAUUAGGAGAAUUGAGUGGUCACUCUAGGUCGUUCAGGGCUUUGAGUAGAGUUUCUAGACUAUGGUUGAGGUUUAUUUUUUAGUCUUACGGGAUUAGAGAACUAAACACGGGCUAUUAGCUCAGGUGGUUAGAGCGCACCCCUGAUAAGGGUGAGGUCCCUGGUUCGAGUCCAGGAUGGCCCACUGCGUGGGGGUUUAGCUCAGUUGGUAGAGCGCCUGCUUUGCAAGCAGGAUGUCAGCGGUUCGAGUCCGCUAACCUCCACCAAGACUGACUGGAUUAAUAGGAAGGGUUGAAUUCAGCACAAUGUGUUUUGGGAAUAUCCAAGGCAUAGUCUGCUGGGUGAGAGCCUAGCGAAGAACCUUGAAAACUGAAUAUGAGAGAAGUGUAAGGUAGUACACACAGAACAUUUAAGUUCGUUGAGAGAAGAGUGAGAUUAGUUGACUAGCGAUAGUUAAUUAAUUGAAGGUCAAGCUACAACGGGCUCACGGUGAAUACCUWGGCACACAGAGGCGADG
rnacentral:sRNA from 1 species